UGGUGGCAGUGGGGCUGGCUCAGCAUAUCCGUGUCAGUCACUUUGCUCUUAUUUCUAAGUGUACUUUUGUGCCAUUUAAGCGGCCGAUGGUGGAUGGUGACACGGGUGUGGAGCCGAGCCGAGCAGCUCCUCCAGUCCUCGCUGAAGGAAUUGGGAGGGACCACGAGGGCACAAGAUACGCCAUCACUUAACACAGAGGUGUUAAGUUCAUUCUUGCAGCAGAAGAAGGCCAUUGUAUUUCCUGACCCUGAAAGCAAGGAUGAUUCCUGUGGUCUCCCAGUGCAGCUUCUACAUAGUUGAGAGCAAUAUUGGAAAGAAAUAUGUAAGAAGGCAAUGA